rnacentral:siRNA from 1 species
UGAAAUCCAUGAGGUUCUGGGCCG